UGGCUCAGACGGUAAAGCGUCUGCCUGAAAUGCGGGAGACCCGGGUUCGAUUCCUGG
rnacentral:tRNA from 1 species